GACGAACGCUGGCGGCGUGCCUAAUACAUGCAAGUCGAGCGGAUCUUCAUUAGCUUGCUUUUGAAGAUCAGCGGCGGACGGGUGAGUAACACGUGGGCAACCUGCCUGUAAGACUGGGAUAACUUCGGGAAACCGGAGCUAAUACCGGAUAAUCCUUUCCCUCACAUGAGGGAAAGCUGAAAGACGGUUUCGGCUGUCACUUACAGAUGGGCCCGCGGCGCAUUAGCUAGUUGGUGAGGUAAUGGCUCACCAAGGCGACGAUGCGUAGCCGACCUGAGAGGGUGAUCGGCCACACUGGGACUGAGACACGGCCCAGACUCCUACGGGAGGCAGCAGUAGGGAAUCUUCCGCAAUGGACGAAAGUCUGACGGAGCAACGCCGCGUGAACGAUGAAGGCCUUCGGGUCGUAAAGUUCUGUUGUCAGGGAAGAACAAGUACCGGAGUAACUGCCGGUACCUUGACGGUACCUGACCAGAAAGCCACGGCUAACUACGUGCCAGCCGCCGCAGUAA
rnacentral:rRNA from 1 species